CCCCAAUGGGCAAUACAUCAUAAGAUGAGUUGGCUUUCAUGAACAUAAUAAAACAUUUUUUUGAUCAUGUAAUAAAAGGGAUACCUCAUACACAAUGUCAAGCACAAUAUCUAAUCCUCAAUAUCAUCACAUGACUGAAACUGUACCUUUACAUAACAUUAAUACAUUUAUCAUGUCCACACUAACUAUUACAUACACGUGACUUCAUUACUCUUGUAAACCUCCUGGUCUACCCUGUACCUGCAAUCCUGGGGAAAAUUGGGAGAAGGGUGAGCUACUAGAGCCCAGUGAGCAGAAUAAUAAAACAUUUAAAAACAUAUGAUAACAUGGAAUGCAUCACAUCACAGCUAAUCACAUCAAGGAUGAACCUGUCACCAAUAGCCCUCUACAUGGUCCAACUGUGCCAGAACGUAGAAUGGGUCCUGGUCUUUCCCUUACAUAUCAUAACAUAACAGUGUCCAACUGUGCCAGAACGUAGAAUGGGUCCUGGUCUUUCCCUUACAUAGUGCCAGCGAACGUAGAAUGGGUCCCACUGGUCUUACAUUCCGUACCGUACAUAUCACAUCGUCAUAUCAUAGAUCAAGGGCUAUGGAUCAUCCAACAUUCAUCCGCAUCAACAUUUAAAAUAUGCAAUGCAACAUAUUCGUGAAUUAUAAUGCAAGCAACCUAAUUCAUCACAUGGCAUUCAUGAUGCAUGAUCAUGCUCAAUCCUUGCAAUUGAUUUGCUUAAAAACAUAAAGGGUUAUUCCACUCACCUCUGGAUAGCUCUGACCAGACACUGGGGCAACAGACUCACUGCUGGGGUCCUCGGUUCCUCGGGUCCGAACCUACACAGGUGGACUCAA
rnacentral:lncRNA from 1 species